rnacentral:rRNA from 1 species
GACGAACGCUGGCGGCGUGCCUAAUACAUGCAAGUCGAACGCACUCUCGUUUAGAUUGAAGGAGUUUGCUCCUGAUUGAUAAACAUUUGAGUGAGUGGUGGACGGGUGAGUAACACGUGGGUAACCUGCCCUAAAGUGGGGGAUAACAUUUGGAAACAGAUGCUAAUACCGCAUAAAACCUAACACCGCAUGGUGUAGGGUUGAAAGAUGGUUUCGGCUAUCACUUUAGGAUGGACCCGCGGUGCAUUAGUUAGUUGGUGAGGUAAAGGCUCACCAAGACCGCGAUGCAUAGCCGACCUGAGAGGGUAAUCGGCCACACUGGGACUGAGACACGGCCCAGACUCCUACGGGAGGCAGCAGUAGGGAAUCUUCCACAAUGGACGAAAGUCUGAUGGAGCAACGCCGCGUGAGUGAAGAAGGUUUUCGGAUCGUAAAACUCUGUUGUUGGAGAAGAAUGUAUCUGAUAGUAACUGAUCAGGUAGUGACGGUAUCCAACCAGAAAGCCACGGCUAACUACGUG